ensembl:snRNA U7 U7 small nuclear RNA
AAUUGUUAUAGCUCUUUUAGAAUUUGUGUACCAGGUUUUCUGGUUUUCACCGGAAACCAAC